GGCAGAGGGGCCUAGUGGCUAAGAGCCUUGUUGAGGACACACAGACCUGAGUUCAAAUCCCAGCUCUGCCA
rnacentral:tRNA from 1 species